GUAUACAAAGAAAUUUUCCCUAUAUACGAAGCAAUAGCUGUAGAGACCGGGAAUUUUAGCUGAGGCUUGUCGACAGCUCUGGAGAGUGUCGGGUCAAGUCCGGGUCGCGUUGGCGCGAAGUGGACGCCAAACGGGCCUUGUGGGAACUUGAGAGCAGCGUGUAUCUUGAAGAUCUGCGAAAUAGCAGAUUUUCAGUGAGCUGUACCGGUACACUUUGACAGGUAUGGUGCUGUUUGACUUUUUCCUCUCUAGUCUUGUCACCACUUUUCCCCUUACCUUAAGAGCAGGGAGGAGAGAGGGGGGAGGGCUUCUUCCUCCUCUGCUGUGCUUCUUCCUCUUCCCCCUUGGCUGAGUAGAGGUGGUGGAGGAGCUCAAGGGAGAAGCUCAAGCUUCGUCGACGACGCGCCGCGGAGCGGAUCGAGGGUGCUUUCAACAUUGUGACGCUGCGAGGAGGCCGGGCGACUGCUGUCCCUUACCAUCCUCGACGUGGUGCUGCUCCCAGGGCGGUUGUCGAGGUGAGUAGGCCACCGAAAUCCCUUCGGUUACUUCAAACUACUCCAUUAUCGAGCUUCUCUGCUGCUGCUGCUGAUUCCAGUGUCGACUGUUGGCGUUUUGGCUUGUUCUCUGUGUAGGAGCGUCGGAUCGCGGUGAUUCUUGCGUCAUUGGAUCCGGGACUUCGAGACGAAUCCAGAGGAUCCUUACUCGCCCGAUUUGGAGAAGGUUUGCCCUGUAGAAACCCCUUUUUACUGAGCUGCUGUUUGCCGAGCAGAUUCUGAAUUGCUGAACCGUAGUUUCCAGCGUCGACGCUCAGUGUUUUGGCUUGUUCUCUGCGUAGGAGCGUCGGAAUUCAGCGAAACUUGAUUUACUGGAUUCGCGGCUUCGAGACGAAGAUUCUGAGCCCAAGAUUGGAAUUUUUAGAUGAGGUUUACUUGCUCGAAACCUAGUCCUAUUGCGCUGCUGUUUGUCGAGCAGAAUCUGAGGUGUUGAUCUGCAGAUCCCAGCGUCGGCCUUCGGUACUUCGGCUCGUGCGCGACGUAGGAGCGACGGAUCGCGACGAAAUCGGGUUUGCUGGAUUCUAGACUGCGAGAAGAAUCCACAGAGUCCAAGUUUGCUGGAUUUGGAAAGGUUAGCUUGAUCGGAUUUAAAGGUUUCUCAGCCACUGUUUUUCGGACAGUUUCGUGGAUUGAGUCAUCCAUGGUCUUAUUUUCCGCAGCAGGUGGAUUCGGUUUUGAGCGGGACGCGUUGGGUUUUCGCGGACUCGGCCACUCUCUUCGUUGCCAGGAGAUUAGCGAUCGAGGUGGGUUAAUCAUCGGCUUUUCAUCCUAAGCGCAUAAUAGUCGACAAGUAUAAUUUCAGCUUUUGACUAGUAUAUGAUAGCUCGAAUUCAUGGAUCAUAGUAUGUUAAAUCUGAGUUUUGGAGCAUGUUUAGCAAGUAUUUAAAUUAUACAUGUUGGACGUGGACUUGACUUAGGAGAAAACCACGGUUUGAUCGUCAUUUGUAUUACACUACCAGAUUUAGCUCUAGGAGCCGUACUGUGCGGUAUCGUCGCGGGGGAGUGUGACGGAUACCCAGGGUAGUGUAGCUUAUUUCCACGCUCGUGCUGUGGAUGCCGAGCUUUGUUACAGUAGAGUCAGACCGUUGGUGUUGUCGGGGACCGUCGGGGGUUGACGGUGGGCCCAGAUUACUGUUUUGGUUACAGAUUGUGCCAAGGGCACGAGGUAUAUUGGUGGUUAGACCCUGUUUAUUUGAAUUAUGCCUGUGAGAGCUUGAUUGAGCUCGACAGAGAUACGCUUGCAUACUCGGUUGGUUCGCGCCCACGAGUGCCGCUCCGGAGUCUGGCUUAGUGCUUUUGCGUUGGUGUCGCUGUGUCCUAGUUGUUGGACUCGCUCUCCACUAGCUACCCCAGGGGUAGUUGUUAGUGUAGCUUCGACAGGCGGGACGGGUGUAUCACAGUCCCACGUAAAAUUGGGUCAGUUUUUACUUGUUCUACAGAGGGUUGUACUAGAGCAGGAUAGCAUAGUGGUAUCUAGCUGUAGAGUGUUUCCAGCUUUUCCUUACUUUUCUUGCUUACCCUGUAGACUUAGUGGGUUGACCGAUGAGGUUUAGGGCGGCACCCACUGAGGACUACUUAUUUUUACAGUAGUUCUCACGCCCCUUUUCUUCCACCGUUGUCGCAGGACCUUCGGUCUCGGCUGCUGCUCCUUCUGAGGCGGAUCGCGGCAAGGGCGUCGCGAGCUAGAGCCCUUCCCGACUGGUGCUGAGUUAGCAGUUUUCCCCUACUGCAGGUAGUGUGCUCGUGUUUUGGGAGCUAUGUACAUAUUUGUGAACUCGUUGGAGCGAGUGCUUUUGUAUAGAGAUUUUUGUAUGUAUAUAGACUCGUUCUUUCUCUACCUGUUCAGUUUGUUUUAGUUUCAGCUCUACGCUACUGUUCGUAGCCUUGUGUGUUGUACAGGUACUGCUACGCUUCGUAUACAGGAAAAAUUUCUUGUAUACGGCGGAUUUGUCGGCGUGCCCGGUGAUCGUGCAAUCCGGGGCGUGACAGAUUAAGUUGGUAUCAGAGCUUAGCAUUAGGUCGUUGGGACCUAGGAAACCUAAGCUGGCAAACCUUAGGAAGGCUUGACGCGAGAGGCGCGAUUUAACGCGAAAGUCAUUGAUUGAUUGUUCUAACUCAUCCUUGAGUGGAGUGAGUGACUGAAGGAGUGUCUGUUUCGGUCCAGGAAAAUUAUGUUGGCUGCAGACGACAUAAUUUUACGGAGAAACAGGGACCACCUUCGAGACUUUCGUUGAUUGGGUCGAGUGUUUGUGCUUAUCUGACCAUGGUCUCCUUUUGUGCAGCUAUGCAUCGACGUAGAGGACGACCGCCGCUUGGGGGUCGUGCCCCACCGCCACCACCCCGGAUACCAGAACAGAUGGAGCAGGGCACCCGACCCGAGACGGGUGUACCUCCCGUGGUAGAGCCGAGUGCACGAGCGGAGGCGAGUGCACAGUUGGAUCUGAGCGCACAGUUGGCUGCCCUGACCGAGGUGACGAGACAGCAGGGAUUACUGUUACAGCAGAUGUGCGAGAGAUUAGCCUCGUCGCCCAGUACAGCAUCGGGGGCACCAGCUCAGCCUACUCCACCUCCCCCUACUCCACCUACUGCACCAGUCGCCGCCAUACCCCCACCAGCAGAGAUACCUCCAGCACCAGUUGCGCCUGCUAGAGUACCAGUCCAGUCGACUGCGGCGGAGCAAGAGCGGAUGACAGAGUUACUGUUUCGUUUUCGCCGCCUUGACCCACCGACGUUUGAUGGGGAUUGCACUGAGCCCUGGGUAGUAGAGAGCUGGAUCAGCGCAAUGGAGAGACUAUUUGAGGACAUGUACGUCCCGGAGGAGGACCAGGUUCAUCUAGGGGUCCAUUGCUUAGUUGGGGACGCCCGCGAGUGGUGGAAGAGGAUGAGGCGCGACCAGGGAGUUGUAGCUUCACAGACGAGCUGGGAUGAGUUCUGCGGGAUGCUGUACCGCACGUACUUCCCUGUCAGUGUAAAGCAGAGGAUUGAGGAAGACUUGAAGAGGAUACAGCAGGGGGAUCGCACAGUCCAGGAGUAUGUUCGGGAGUUUACGCGGCUCCUGAACUGUGUGCCUUUUGCAGCUAGAGACGAGGCACAUCGAGUGUACCUCUUCGAGCAGGGUUUGAGGCCGGAUCUCUACAGGUUUGUGCGGGCGCGGAGGUCGAGGACUUUGGAUGCGUCCAUUGAGCAGGCACUGUGGGAGGAGAGAGGUGAGGCGACGCUUCGAGAGCGAGCCCAGGGGCCGGGACCCAGUCAGGACAGGAAGCGCCCCGCUCCGGAGGACGGUGGACAGUCGAGCAGCAGGCGUCCGCCGAGGCCCCCACGAUCACGUUUUCAGGGUCGUGGAUCCUCGGGGCGUCAGCGUGCCAGGGAUACCCGUCAGCGGGGGCAGCCACAGAGGACACAGCAGUGUGUGAUCUGCGGAGGACCACACGGGGCCCGACAGUGUGAGCAGCGGGAGGGCCGGUGUUUUGGAUGCGGGCAGCCAGGACACAUUAGGGCAGCUUGCCCGCGAGCGGCAUCGUCGGCACCAUUGUCAGCAUCAGCUCAGGCCGGAUCCCAACAGUCGUACGGGACACCGCCGAGCUACCGUCGCGAGGAUAGGGCGUCUGUACCGCGACAGGGUGAGCAGCGGCAGCAGGCUCCGAGCGGCAGGGUAUACGCAGCCCAGGUGGAGGACUCUUCAGCAGCCGACCGAGUGGUGGCAGGUAUCACUUUACUUUCUGGUACUAGAGCACGUACUUUAUUUGAUACCGGCUCAUCGCAUUCUUUUAUCAGUCGAGCUUUUGCAUUAUUACAUGGUCUAGAGUUAGGGUUGUUGCCACAGACCCGGGAGAUCCAGAUCCCCGACCAUGUACUACAGGUGGUAGAGUGUUGUAGGUCGUGUCCAGUGCAGUUAGAUUCGUGGAUCUUGCCCGUAGACUUGUUGGUUUUAGGGCAGCUGCAUGACUUCGACAUUGUGCUUGGCAUGGAUUGGCUGGCGCGGUACUACGCGACUAUUGACUGUGGAGAGAGGACGGUGACACUCCGUGAGCCAGGCCAGGAGGAGUUCACUUUCAGAGGCUGCAGGAGCACGUUGUUUGCCACGUGGAUUUCUUCAGCGAGAGCUCGACAGCUGAUGAGUAGAGGGUGCAUUGCUUUUCUAGCGAUGGUUACAGAGGUACCUACGGCGGCACCGAGACUCGAGGACAUCCCUGUAGUUCGCGAGUUUCCGGAUGUGUUCCCCUCGGAGUUGUCGACUAUGCCGCCGGAGAGGGAGAUUGAGUUUGUGAUUGAUGUAGUUCCGGGAACUGCACCAAUCUCGAAGGUACCUUACAGGAUGGCACCGGCAGAGCUGAGAGAAUUAAAGGCGCAGCUUCAGGAUUUGAUGGAUAAAGGGUUCGUGAGACCCAGUGUAUCGCCUUGGGGAGCACCAGUGUUAUUUGUAAAGAAGAAGGAUGGUUCACUUAGGUUAUGUGUUGAUUACCGAGAGCUGAAUAAAGUGACCAUCAAGAACAAGUAUCCUUUGCCGCGCAUUGAUGAUCUGUUUGAUCAGCUGCAAGGAUCUCGUGUCUUCUCGAAGAUUGAUCUCCAGUCAGGUUACCACCAGCUGAGGGUGAGGGCCGAGGACGUUCCCAAGACGGCUUUUAGGACUCGGUACGGGCAUUAUGAGUUUACAGUGAUGCCUUUUGGAUUGACGAAUGCCCCUGCCGCGUUCAUGGAUUUGAUGAACAGGGUGUUUAAGCCGUUCUUGGAUAGAUUUGUAGUAGUCUUCAUCGAUGAUAUCUUGAUAUACUCCCGUAGCGAUGUCGAGCAUGAGGAGCACUUGAGGAUAGUGCUACAGCUUCUGCGAGAGAAGGAGUUGUAUGCCAAGUUAAAGAAGUGCGAGUUCUGGUUGCGGGAGGUUACUUUCUUGGGUCACGUGAUUUCUGCAGAUGGAGUGGCAGUGGACCCGAAGAAGAUUGAUGCUAUUCGGGAUUGGCCCAGACCGACGACGGUGACUGAGGUGCGGAGCUUCCUUGGAUUAGCAGGAUACUACCGUCGGUUUGUGGAAGGCUUUGCGAAGCUUUCCACACCCCUCACUCGAUUAACUCGUAAAGGAAUUAACUUUAUCUGGAGUGAGGAUUGUCAGAGGAGCUAUGACGAGUUGAGACAGAGGUUGACAUCAGCUCCUAUCCUUGCCCUUCCUGUUAUGGGGGAAGGAUAUGUGAUCUACAGUGAUGCAUCACACAGCGGGCUGGGUUGUGUGUUGAUGCAGCAUGGUAGGGUAAUUGCUUAUGCUUCACGGCAGUUAAAGGAUUUCGAGAAGAAUUACCCUACGCAUGACUUGGAGCUAGCCGCGGUAGUCUUUGCCUUGAAGCUGUGGCGGCAUUACUUGUAUGGUGAGCACUGUGAGAUUUUUACUGAUCACAAGAGUCUCAAGUAUCUGUUCACCCAAAAGGAGUUGAACCUGAGGCAACGCCGGUGGUUGGAGUUACUGAAGGACUAUGAUAUUAGCAUUCAGUAUCAUCCCGGCAAGGCGAAUGUGGUGGCAGAUGCAUUGAGCAGGAAGGCAGUGCAGAGCUCGUGCCUGAUGAUCACUCAGCAGAGGCCGUUACUUGAGGAGCUACAUCGGUUGAGACUAGAGGUCGUGUCCCCUGGGUCUACUGCAAUACUAAUGUCUAUGGUUUUGCAGCCUACUCUGUUGGAUAGGAUCCGAGAGAAACAGAGUGGAGACCCACACUUGCUGAGGAUUAGAGAGCAGUUAGAGAGGGGACAGGCAGAGGGUUUCGCCGUGGACAGUUCGGGAGUACUGAGGUACAGGGACCGACUGUGUGUACCCGUGGAUUCUGAGAUCCGAGCAGACAUUUUGAGAGAGGCUCAUUGUUCUCCUUAUACAGUUCAUCCUGGUGGAACCAAAAUGUAUAAGGACUUGAAGGCACAGUUCUGGUGGAAUGGAAUGAAAAGAGACAUUGGCAGAUACGUGGCUCAGUGUUUGACUUGCCAACAGGUGAAGGCAGAGCAUCAGGUGCCUGCUGGCAAGCUUCAGAGUCUGCCAGUGCCAGAGUGGAAAUGGGAGCAGAUCACAAUGGACUUCGUCGUGGGUUUACCUAGAGCUCAGGGUGGCUUCGACGCUAUUUGGGUGAUAGUAGACAGACUGACUAAGUCUGCUCACUUCCUACCAGUUCAGACACCUGGUCAGAGAGAGACUCGCGCAGUUAUACCUGGAUGAGAUCGUCAGACUGCAUGGCGUGCCAGUGUCGAUAGUAUCGACAGGGACCGAGGUUUGUAUCACACUUUUGGAGGAGUUUGCAGACAGCCUUUGGGCACUCAUUUGCAUUUAGCACGGCACUUUCACCCACAAGACAGAUGGUCAGUCAGAGCGGACCAUUCAGACUCUAGAGGACCUGCUGAGGCAACGUCCUGGACUUUGGAGGCGGGUGGCAUCGCAUUUGAGACUGGUCGAGUUUGCAUACAACAACAGCUAUCAGCGAGCAUCCAGAUGGCUCCGUUUGAGGCGUUGUAUGGACGCAAAUGCGAUCCCCUUUGUUUUGAAGUGAUGUGGGUGAAAGGAAGACUCUUGGGCCUGACAUUCUGUUAGAAGCUGAGGAAAAGGUGAGAGUGGUGCGACUUACACCUUUGACUGCCAGAGCCGCCAGAGACUAUACGCCGAUACCAGGAGGCGAGACUUGGAGUUUCAGAUUGUGGAUCAUGUAUUUCUUAAAGUCUCGCCAUCUAAAGGGAUUCGCAGAUUUGGAGUGCGUGGAAAGCUCAGUCCACGGCUACAUUGGCCCUUUUGAGGUUUUGGAGGCGAGUUGGGCCAGUUGCUUACUAGGAUUGCUCUACCCCCCGCGACUAGUCGGCACCCACGAUGUUUUCCACGUCUCGGCAUUGAGAGAAAUGUAUUCGAUCCUUCUCACGUGAUUGACUUCACUCCGCUCGAGAUAGGCGAGGACCUGCGAUACGAGGAGCGACCGUUGCGGAUUCUUGCUCGUGGAGAAAGAAUUGCGCAACCGGGUCAUACCGUAUGUCAAAGUACAGUGGAGUAAUCACGAGGAGCGGAGGCGACGUUGGGAGCCGAGACGGUGAUGAGGAGGCGUUGUAGGACGCAAUGCCGAUCCCUUUGUUUUGGAGUGAUGUGGGUGAAAGGAAGACUCUUGGGCCUGACUAUUCUGUUAGAAGCUGAGGAAAGGAGAGUGGUUUCGACGACACCUUUUGACGCCCAGAGCGCCAGAGGAGCACGCCGAUACCAGGAGGCGAGAACUUGAGUUUCAGAUUGGUGAUCAUGUAUUCUAAAGUCGCCAUCUACAGGGAUUCGCAGAUUUGGAGUGCGUGGAAAGCUCCAGUCCACGCUACAUUGGCCCUUUUGAGGUUUGGAGCGAGGUUGGGCCAGUUGCUUACAGGAUUGCUCUACCCCCGCGACUAUCGGCACCCACGGAUGUUUCCACGUCCUCGGCAUUGAGAAAAUAUGUAUUCGAUCCUUCUCACGUGAUUGACUUCACUCCGCUCGAGAUAGGCGAGGACACUGCGAUACGAGGAGCGACCGUUGCGGAUUCUUGCUCGUGAGACAAAGAAUGCGCAACCGGGUCAUACCUGUAUGUCAAAGUAGCAGUGGAGUAAUCACGAGGAGCGGGGGCGACUGUGGACCGAGACGGUGAUGAGGGGGGCCUAAUCCUACUCCUGUUUGACGUGCCGAGUGAGGUAUGCCUGAGUUUCGAGGACGAAACUUUUUGUAGUGGGGAGGAUGUAGAGACCGGGAAUUUAGCUGAGGCUUGUCGACAGCUCUAGAGAGUGCGGGUCAAGUCCGGGUCGCGGUGGCGCAAGUGGACGCCAACGGGCCUUGUGGGAACUUGAGAGGCAGCGUGUAUCUUGAAGAUCUGCGAAAUAGCAGAUUUUCAGUGAGCUGUACCGGUACACUUUGACAGGUAUGGUGCUGUUUGACUUUUCCCUCUCUAGUCUUGUCACCACUUUUCCCCUUACCUUAAGAGCAGGAGGAGAGAGGGGGAGGGCUUCUCCUCCUCUGCUGUGCUUCUUCCUCUUCCCCCUUGGCUGAGUAGAGGUGUGAGGAGCUCAAGGGAGAAGCUCAAGCUUCGUCGACAGCGCGCCGCUGAGCGGAUCGGGAGGCUUUCAACAUUGUGACCUGCGAGAGGCCGGCGACUGCUGUCUUACCAUCCUCGACGUGGUGCUGCUCCCAGGGCGGUUGUUCGAGGUGAUGUAGGCCACCGAAAUCCCUUCGUUACUUCAAACUACUCCAUUAUCGAGGCUUCUCUGCUGCUGCUGCUGAUUCCAGUGUCGACUGUUGGCGUUUUGGCUUGUUCUCUGUGUAGGAGCGUCGGAUCGCGGUGAUUCCUUCGUCAUUGGAUCUGGGACUCGAGACGAAUCCAGAGGAUCCUUACUCGCCCGAUUUGGAGAAGGUUUUCCCUGUAGAA
rnacentral:lncRNA from 1 species